CAGCCGCCACGGUAAUACGAAGGGGGCUAGCGUUGUUCGGAAUUACUGGGCGUAAAGCGCACGUAGGCGGACAUUUAAGUCAGGGGUGAAAUCCCGGGGCUAAACCCCGGAACUGCCUUUGAUACUGGGUGUCUAGAGUAUGGAAGAGGUGAGUGGAAUUCCGAGUGUAGAGGUGAAAUUCGUAGAUAUUCGGAGGAACACCAGUGGCGAAGGCGGUUCACUGGUCCAUUACUGACGCUGAGGUGCGAAAGCGUGGGGAGCAAACAGGAUUAGAUACCCCUGUAGUCCCUGUCUCUUAUAC
rnacentral:rRNA from 1 species